rnacentral:rRNA from 1 species
UACAGGGGGUGCAAACGUUGCUCGGAAUUAUUGGGCGUAAAGCGCGCGUAGGCGGCUACUUAAGUCGGAUGUGAAAGCCCUUGGCUCAACUGAGGAAGUGCACCCGAAACUGAGUGGCUAGAGUACGAAAGAGGGUCGCGGAAUUCCCGGUGCAGAGGUGAAAUUCGUAGAUAUCAGGAGGAACACCGGUGGCGAAGGCGGGUCUCUGGGCAGUAACUGACGCUGAGGAGCGAAAGCGUGGGGAGCGAACAGG